GGAAGAAAGAAGAGAAGAAGAAGAAGGAGAGGGAAAGAGAGAGAGGAAAGCAUGGAGAGAGCAAAUCUUAACCGAUUUGAGUGAUUCAAAAGCCUAAAUCGCUUAGAAUCUCGCCCUCUUUCAUAAUCCUAGUCUAGUUUUGAGUGGGGAGCAUUGUGGAGAGGGAUAUCCUCCUCCAAAAAUUCGGCCCAUUGGAGAAAUUGAGGUGUUUGAGAGCUUCAACCUCCAUUGAAGCUUGAGGAGCCAUCAAUCCUUGGUUGUGUGACCAUUGGUGGAUUGAGGCAAGAGGACCAAGUGGAGUGACCAACCCUUAGGGUUGUGUGCAAUUGAGGAAAGCUCAAGAGCAAGGUAAGGAAGCUGCAGGAGCCUCUGAUGGCAAGUGACCAUAUUUGCAGUAGAUCAUGCAUGAAGAAAAUGAUGUUUUGAGAUCAUACAUGUUAUUUUGUAGAUUUACAUGUAUAAGAUUGAUCAUUGAUAGCAUUGACGUAUGUAUAUCUCGUUAUAUUUGAUGGACUUAGCCUAUGAUCAUGCCAUUGGAUAUCUCUUUUGUUGAUGAGAGCCAAGGGAUGGUCAUAGCCUUUUGUAGCUAAGUUCCCCGUUAUGUAAUUAAACUUGUGUUAAUGUUAUUUACUUCAA